rnacentral:rRNA from 1 species
CCUACGGGAGGCAGCAGUGGGGAAUAUUGCACAAUGGGGGAAACCCUGAUGCAGCGACGCCGCGUGAGUGAAGCAGUAAUUCGUUAUGUAAAGCUCUAUCAGCAGGGAAGAAAAUGACGGUACCUGAGUAAGAAGCCCCGGCUAACUACGUGCCAGCAGCCGCGGUAAUACGUAGGGGGCAAGCGUUAUCCGGAUUUACUGGGUGUAAAGGGAGCGUAGACGGCAGUGCAAGUCUGGAGUGGAAGGCGGGGGCGCAACCCCCGGACUGCUCUGGAAACAGUACGGCUGGAGUGCAGGAGAGGUAAGUGGAAUUCCUAGUGUAGCGGUGAAAUGCGUAGAUAUUAGGAGGAACACCAGUGGCGAAGGCGGCUUACUGGACUGUAACUGACGUUGAGGCUCGAAAGCGUGGGGAGCAAACAGGAUUAGAUACCCCGGUAGUC